UUGCGACUGUAAGAACUGAACGAAUGGUUUUCCCUCUCACAGAAGAAGUUUCCGUUUUUAAGCUCAAGUCCCAUAGAUGAAAGUAGCAUCACGUGAAAUAUCUGAAGAUUUCCUGCUGUACAGUUUGUUGCCUUCAGCAUUCAUUUUGCUGCUGCUGUCAUUUGUGGAGCACAGAAAAAAGAUCUACAGCUGUGAGAAGAGAUUCCAGUGUGUGAGCGGCCGCUUCGGCAUCGUGGUCCCACUGGACUUCACAAGCUCUCUGAAGAACAGAUGGUCCUACGCUUUCGCUUUUGCUGCCAUGACACCACUGAUAUUCAGUCUGUUCUUUGGUUUCACCAACCCAUUUAAAUUCACAUUGCCCCAAUACCUACAAGUGUUUGUGUACUUGGUAGCAGCUUUUGAGGUGGGCUUCAUCUGCAUGCCAAUUUUUGCCUGUCUUUCAACAUCACACCAUUUGCUUGGAGGGUUUCUGGGCCUGCUCUAUACACUCGCCUGGU